ACUUUUCAGAGUACAGUCUGGCUUAACAGACCGAUGGCUGGUGACUUUUUGGUCACCAGCCU
rnacentral:sRNA from 1 species